rnacentral:lncRNA from 1 species
CUGAAAACUGCUAAACAAGAUCCUGCUCUCUUAAACUGAAGUUGUUGUUUAUUUGUUUCAGUCUGGAAACACCUAAUAAGUAUCAUGUAGAGUAAAUUAAAAAAAAAAAACAAUUCACCCUUGGUUACACUGUGGUGUGUUUAUAGAAUAUGAAGGAUUUUUUUCCUCCAAUGGUCCAAACAUUUCCAUAGUGGAUUGGUACAGAUUGUUUGGUGUGCAUCAUGUGGAAGAGUUCUGAUAUUGAGGCCAGAAAAAGAAAGUAUCGAGAUUAAUUAGUAGUAAGAGAAUGAGAAGAAAUAGUGGUUGAAGAAGAACCUCAUUCUGUACUGAAGUUUUAGCAUCUCAUCCUGAUUGAACAAGAUCACAUUGGGUCCAUAUUUCAUAUAAUCAGUCAACCUGUUGGGACCCCUCACGGUUCUUCAUUUUCUGGGAUCGAACUCAGGACCUUGCACUUUCGAGGCAGGUGGUGGCACCACUGAGCUAAAUCCCUGGCCCCCCUACACUUCGUUUAAUGAAAAUACUGGAAUUAAAAGAAAUACUUUCCAAUAGUUUUCAUGGCAGAUAUAUGAAAUUGGUGGACUCAGUAGAUAAGCACAGAAAAUACUCUGGUUCCUAGAGUGGAGAAACCAGGUGAACCUAGUGUAAUCACAAAGGUUCUAAAGAGUGAAAGAGGACAUCAGAAGAGAGAAACAGGUGUGGCAGCGUGAGAAGGAUCCAGCCCAAUGUUGUUGGGAUUGAAGACAGAGGACCGGCCUGUGAGCCAAGGAAGCUGUCCUGCCCUUGAAAGCAGGAAAAGACAAGGGAAUGGAUCUCCCCUGGAAGCUCCACAAGGACCACAGCCAUGAUAACACCCUGAUACCAGGGAAGUACUGCUGAAUUUUAGGCUGCAGACCCAUAAGAUAACGAAUUUCUGUUGUUUUUGCAAUAGGAAACUGAAACAUGUCUUUGAGUCUUUUGUCAUGUUUUUCUCAGAUUGGUCUUUUUGCUUUGCAGAUUUUUGAUAUAUUAUGGAUGUGAGGGCUUUCUUGGGUUUGUUUAGUAUUUUACAUCCAUGUUCUUUGUUGGUCCCAGCUUAAUUGAGGGCAAUUGACAAAACUUAUGUAUGUUUAAAGAAUACAAUGUAAGUCUUAGAUAUAUUAUAUACUGUG